CAGCCGCCGCGGUAAUACGUAGGGUGCGAGCGUUAAUCGGAUUUACUGGGCGUAAAGCGUGCGCAGGCGGCCCGUUAAGACAGGUGUGAAAUCCCUGGGCUCAACCUAGGAAUUGCGCUUGUGACUGGCGGGCUCGAGUACGGGAGAGGGGGGUGGAAUUCCUGGUGUAGCAGUGAAAUGCGUAGAGAUCAGGAGGAACACCGAUGGCGAAGGCAGCCCCCUGGGCCUGUACUGACGCUCAUGCACGAAAGCGUGGGGAGCAAACAGGAUUAGAUACCCUGGUAGUCACCGCCCUAAACGAUGGGUACUAGCCGUUUGGUGCGCGAUAGCGCUGAGUGGCGAAGCUAACGCGUGAAGUACCCCGCCUGGGGAGUACGGCCGCAAGGUUGAAACUUAAAGGAAUUGGCGGG
rnacentral:rRNA from 1 species